CUGGGGUUAAAGGUCAGUUGAAGCAGCUCAGCCGGACACUGAAAGUGGAGAGAGAAGCCCUGAGGAGAGAGGCCCAGGUCUGCCAGGAGACCAAUGACUCUCUGAACCUGGAGAGAAACAGCAGCCUAGUGGUCCUGGGCAUAAGAGGCUGAGAUUGAAGAUCAUGCAGGCUGUGUUCUCUUCUCCUGGAGCCAAACACCCCCAGACUGCCCCCUGAAGGACAGCUUGUUACAUGUUUUUGAAUGUUGCGCUUUAACCAAGCAUGUACUUUGAGGGAUUUGGGGCCAUUUUGUUGUAGACAUGCAUGUCAUCUGCAAAACUGUGGAAGAGGACCCCAAGUCACCUGACUACAUGGCCGAGUGGAAGUAGGCAGAGGAUGAACAGGGUGGGGGACACCACAGGUGACUGAGUGGAUCUGCACUCUUCUACAAUAAUUAUCCUGAAUUUUAAUGUGAGAUGGAGUGGAAGCCAUUCAGGAUAGUUCCUGAAAUAUUGUCUUUUCACCCUUCUGUGAUCCAUACCGUCUAUAGUAAAGUUGUAUCUGUUUGUUGA